GACGAACGCUGGCGGCGUGCUUAACACAUGCAAGUCGAACGGAAAGGCCCUGCUUUUGUGGGGUGCUCGAGUGGCGAACGGGUGAGUAACACGAGAGUAACCUGCCCUUGCCUUUGGGAUAACUUCAGGAAACUGGGGCUAAUACCGGAUAGGAGCUCCUGCUGCAUGGGGGUGGUUGGUAUGUUUCGGCGGUUGGGGAUGGACUCGCGGCUGAUCAGCUUGUUGGUGGGGUAGUGGCUUACAAAGGCUUUGACGGGUGGCCGGCCUGAGAGGGUGACCGGCCACAUUGGGACUGAGAUACGGCGCAGACGCCGACGGGAGGCAGCAGUGGGGGAUAGUGCACAAUGGGCGGAAGCCGGAUGCAGCAACGCCGCUUGCGGGAUGACGGCCUUCGGGUUGUAAACCGCUUUCGCCUGGGACGAAGCGUGAGUGACGGUAAUGGGUAAAGAAGCACCGGCUAACUACGUG
rnacentral:rRNA from 1 species